GGUGGGGUUCCCGAGCGGCCAAAGGGAGCAGACUCUAAAUCUGCCGUCAUCGACUUCGAAGGUUCGAAUCCUUCCCCCACCA
rnacentral:tRNA from 1 species